rnacentral:sRNA from 1 species
AAGAAAAGAACACCGUCAAAAAACACCACGUUCUGUGGCAAUGACGGUGUGACCAAUAUCAUGUUGC